rnacentral:misc_RNA from 1 species
ACUCCUGCAGGUUCAGACUCCACUACUACAUCAAAUCAUUCUGAAGUUUGUGCAGAUGAAGACAGCAAGGAGCAUAUUGUAAAAUUUGAGGAUGAUAAAGAUGAAUCAGAAAUAAAACCUCAGCCUUCUGCAGUUAUUGAACCCGUCUCACCAUGUAGUACACUGAAACAAGAAGUCAAGAAAGAGCUGGAAUAUUUUUCUGGGUGUGACUGGGGUGGGAUACCUGAGAUUAAAGUUCCAGAGAAAAAUGAACUUCAACAGAACAAUACUUGUGAGCAAAAACAGAAAGUUAUCUGCAAUCUCCAACCAGAUUCUACGGAUGAUUCUCUAAAUGAGAAGGAUUACAGCUGGGAUAAUGGAUGUGAGGAGCAGGAUUACUGGCAGAAUUUCAGAAUUGAUGAAAUGUUUAGCAUUGAUGAACUGCUUGGAGACAUAGACAACAGCCCGCUUAGUCGGGAAUUUGAUGCUGGUCAACUGUUGUUCACUGACAGUGGUCAUCUACAGCAUGAAUCAUUCCAGUUGCAGAGCCCAAAUUGUAGGUUCAUUGGGAGUGGUCAGCGCACAGAGCAGUUGCCUUCAGAGGGUGAUUACAAUUUUGAUUUCUUGAAGCCUGGCAGGCAGGAAGACAACAAUGUUCCAUU